GCUCCCCGAGGGCUCGUGGGCAUCUUAGAGCAGCAGUGGGGUGCUGACGAGCGGGACGGUCCUCCCUUCCUCUCUCUCCCUCCCCUGCCUUCCCCUCCUGAAUCUCCAGCUCCUGUCCCAGCUAGUCAGGCAGGAAGGAAGUGUGGAAACAGUCUUAAGCCCAUCCUUCUUUCCUGUCCUCGGAAUUAGCCGGACCCAGGAGGCAAGACAGAAUGGACUUCGGUUUCUCUCUCACGUAGCAGUCCAGAGAAAUCUCAAGGAAGCGAGAUUGUACAGACCUUUUCCAGAAACCCAGCAGCUUUCAACUAAAGCCCUCCGAUCGUGUUUUGAAUCCGGCGUCCUGUCCUGGAGGCAGCCCUUCCUGUCACGUGAGGGGACCAGCCCUCUUUCCCUGCCACGCGUGAGUCCCUGGCCUGUCUGCUCAGUCCUGGUGGCCUCACUCCCCGCCUCUCUCCUCGCUGCCUGGCAGGAAGAAGAAAAGUAGCCAAGCGUUUUCCAGUCGGGACAUGCCUGCCAUCGGCUCUCUCCCUGGUAACAGUCAGUGUCCUCUUCUUGUUUUAAUUGGCAUCACUCUGUUUGUUAUCGGCGUGGUUCUUUGGAGAAAGCCCAGAAAAAUCAUUUCCCAUCUGAACGGCGAAGAGUGCCGAGCUCCGCUCUGCUUCGCUGACGAUCUUUAGGACUCAUUUAGACUUCUGGCUCCUUCCGUCCCAUGGGCAGGUGGGCUUGCUGAAUUAGUAUCGUGUGCAGAGGCCUUGACUCGUAUCAGGAAAAAGGUUCCGCGGCGCUAUGGGUAGCCCCAGGAAUUUUGCAUAAAAGGGACUUGGAGACAGGAAUUUGGUCGUGGCGGGGCGGGGGGGGGGUGGGGAAGGGGGAAGGUACUAGAAUUGUCCUACAGCUGUGUCCGUAGAGCAACCACCCUGCUUUUACUCAGAUGCUAUAUUCUAGAGCAUCGAGGCGAUAAACCUGACACUGGGCCAAAUCUGGCCCACCACGUGCCUUUGUAAAUAAAGUUUUAUUGGAACACGGCCCCA
rnacentral:lncRNA from 1 species